UAAUAGUCAUUUUAUUUCCAAAUAAAAUCCAAAAACAAAAUUUAGUGAGUAGGAUGAGCCAAUAAGUGAUCCUCUGCUGCCAUCUUCAGGUUAUGAAAUCCGUGAGUGAAAACAACAUUAUUAUUAAUAAGUGUUAAGUAAUAAUAAUAAUAAUAAUAAUAAUAAUAAUAAUAAAUAUAAUUCAAGGUAUACGGACUUAAAUGUACAUCUCAGAUGAUAAAAAAUAAAUUAAUAAAAUAGAUAUAAAAAUAACUUUGACUAUUUUACACCUCACGUGCGAAGCCCGCGAAAGAACCAGAGGCUAUAUAAGCUGCGGUCCGUUCACAUCACGCACACAGCCGGACUCCCUUUGACUGAGAGGACAUCGCUUGACGGAAGAGCUUUCCUCAGGUUGUCAUCCAAUUGUUGUAAGUGAUCAAUCUAGUCAUUCUGCAUCUUGGACUUUCCAUGUUCAACACACUGCUGCUGCACCCCAAAUGCUCCACAGCAUUGAGUGUCUUUGGCUUUAUUUGUCAAGAUCAUCUGAAAAGAGUGCAUCUGUGCCAUUUUGCUGGAUGGAGAACCCGAGAAGUUUAUAAACAGAUGGCAUGGUGGAAGAACAGAGCAGGCCUUACAACAACAACAACAACAAAAUAUUUCUGAGGAACUUAAACUUGAGGUCCUGAGGGGAGUUUCUGUUGUGCUUUUGUGUAUUUGUUGAUGUCAC